rnacentral:misc_RNA from 1 species
GGGCUUUCUCUUAUCUCUUGUAUUCCAAGCGAGUUUUUUAGCUGGUCGACAAUAAUAUUAUGGAGUUGAUUGUCUGUGCAAUAUAACUAGAUAUUAUUGUUACCCACUUGUUGGAAACUCAAAACUAAAAGACAUUAUCACCCUGUUGUAUGCAAAAUUUCUGACCAUCUAAUAAAAAACUUGCCUACAACCGGUGAGGGGACUCUAGCACCAGAGAUUGGUAAAU